UACGGAGGGUGCGAGCGUUGUCCGGAAUCACUGGGCGUAAAGGGCGCGUAGGCGGCCCGGCAAGUCUGUGGUGAAAGCUCAGGGCUCAACUCUGAGUCGGCCACGGAUACUGCGGGGCUCGAGCACGGUAGAGGCAGGUGGAAUUCCUGGUGUAGCGGUGAAAUGCGCAGAUAUCAGGAGGAACACCGGUGGCGAAGGCGGGUCUCUGGGCCGAUACUGACACUGAGGAGCGAAAGCGUGGGGAGCGAACAGG
rnacentral:rRNA from 1 species